UUUCCGUAGGGUGAACCUGCGGAAGGGAUCAUUAAUAGUGCCCUCUGAUGCAAAUCAUUGGGUUAGAUCUGCUCUCUUCGCAAGAAGAGGGUUUCCAUACACACCGUGAACUGUGGCUUCGGCCAUCACAAACUGUUAGUAAUGAAUGUAAUAUCAUAACAAAAACAAAACUUUUAACAACGGAUCUCUUGGCUCUCGCAUCGAUGAAGAACGCAGCGAAAUGCGAUAAGUAAUGUGAAUUGCAGAAUUCAGUGAAUCAUCGAAUCUUUGAACGCACCUUGCGCCCUUUGGUAUUCCGAAGGGCAUGCCUGUUUGAGUGUCAUGAAACCUCACCCCACUUGGGUUUUUGCCUGAGCGGUGGUGUAUUGGGUGUUGCCUGUGCUAAAGGCUCGCCUUAAAGACAUAAGCACCUUGGAUGUAAUACGUUUCAUCCUUCUGGGUGGCUGAUAACCCCACAUAUUCAUGAUCUGGCCUCAAAUUCAUGGAGGGGCUACCCGCUGAACUUAAGCAUAUCAAUNAUAANGCGGGAGGAAANUUUCCCCCCCCCCUCUAUCAUCNUUCNCCAACUAUCUUCACUUUCC
rnacentral:rRNA from 1 species